rnacentral:rRNA from 1 species
UACGGGGGGGGCAAGCGUUGUUCGGGAAUUACUGGGCGUAAAGGGCGCGUAGGCGGUUGGAUAAGUCAGCUGUGAAAACCACGGGCUUAACUCGUGGCCUGCAGUUGAGACUGUCUGGCUUGAGUGUGGGAGAGGAGAGUGGAAUUCCUGGUGUAGCGGUGAAAUGCGUAGAUAUCAGGAGGAACACCGGUGGCGAAGGCGGCUCUCUGGACCACAACUGACGCUGAGGCGCGAAAGCUAGGGGAGCAAA